GACGAACUGUCCUAACGUUGUUCGGAAUCACUGGGCUUAAAGGGCGCGUAGGCGGUCCGACAAGUCGGGGGUGAAAUCCUGCAGCUUAACUGCAGAAGUGCCUUCGAUACUGUCGGUCUGGAGGGAGAUAGGGGUGUGCGGAACUUCCAGUGGAGCGGUGAAAUGCGUUGAUAUUGGAAGGAACGCCGGAGGCGAAAGCGGCGCACUGGAUCUCUUCUGACGCUGAGGCGCGAAAAGCUAGGGGAGCAAACGGGG
rnacentral:rRNA from 1 species